AUUGAACGCUGGCGGCAUGCCUUACACAUGCAAGUCGAACGGUAACAGGUCUUCGGAUGCUGACGAGUGGCGAACGGGUGAGUAAUACAUCGUAACGUGCCUAGUAGUGGGGGAUAACUACUCGAAAGAGUGGCUAAUACCGCAUGAGAUCUACGGAUGAAAGCAGGGGAUCGCAAGACCUUGUGCUACUAGAGCGGCCGAUGGCAGAUUAGGUAGUUGGUGGGAUAAAAGCUUACCAAGCCGACGAUCUGUAGCUGGUCUGAGAGGACGAUCAGCCACACUGGGACUGAGACACGGCCCAGACUCAUACGGGAGGCAGCAGUGGGGAAUUUUGGACAAUGGGCGAAAGCCUGAUCCAGCACUGCCGCGUGCAGGAUGAAGGCCUUCGGGUUGUAAACUGCUUUUGUACGGAACGAAAAGCUCUGGGUUAAUACCCUGGGGUCAUGACGGUACCGUAUGAAUAAGCACCGGCUAACUACGUGCCAGCAGCCGCAGUAAAAC
rnacentral:rRNA from 1 species